UUUUAAAGACAAAAAAGCACUGGUUAGGCUUAUAUAUACAUAUGUAUGUAUGUGUGAAUAUACACAAACACAUAUACAUAUGUAUAUGCAGUAUAUAUGUGUGUGUGUGUGUGUGUGUGUGUGUGUGUGCAUUUUUUGCCUAUAUAUAUGGGCAAAAACAAAACAAACCCACAACAUCCCCCCCCCCGCAAAAA